rnacentral:rRNA from 1 species
GACACCAACAUUGUCUCCCAAUUGCAUCCAAACUCAUCAGAUCUAAGAAUAUAAGCAGCGUCGACGCCUGGUUUAGUACUUGGAUGGGAAACUGCCUGGGAUUAUCAAGGUUAGUAGGCU